ensembl:lncRNA
CCACAGAAGGCAGGAUAUUGAAUGACUACUGUGAGUUUCACUGGCUCACAGGGUACCAUGGGCAGAGGUCCCACAUCCGGCACUUGGGACCUGAAUUCCUCGUGCCGACUGUCAGCAACGGAAACCUCACCUCAAGAGCCGCGCACGACACUGGGACUCAAGAUGGUGGCAGCGGGCCGUGUGCAGACACGCUGCACACACCUCAGUACAAGAUGGUGGCAGCGGGCCGUGUGCAGAGACGCCCUGCACCCUGACCUGGACCUAGGGCAGGAGCAGCACAGCUGCAGCCCCCUCCCCACUAAAGAGAUCCCAACAAAACAGCCCCGCCCACCGCCUACGGGAAGAGCAUUUGCUCUGAGCUCGCACGUCUCCGAUCUUUGAUGAAAGAAUAAAGAUCAAAGACCUUUGCUUCUGAACUAAACCCGGUCUCAUUCUGUUGGCACAAAUGACACUGGGCAGGAGGACCCUAGCUGGGACCCGACUAGAAAGGGUCAGUAACAGAAUGAAUGUCACCCGCCCUGAAAUGGGCCCAGAGGGGUUAAAAAAGCAGUGCCUGCCCCUUGGCUGCUAGGGUGUGUACACCUGUUAGACUCCUGCUAGCUUCAGGAGCAUAUAGCGUCUGCAGCCACACCGGGCCUCACAUUUGGCUCAAUGCUCCACUGCUGCAGUCUUAAAAUCCUAACAGUUUUUGAACAAAGGACCCUGAAUUUUCCUUUUGCAUUGAGCCCCACAAAUUACACAGCUGGUCCUGCUAUAGGUUGUUAUAGAAGAGUGAUAAAGGACCCAGAUGCAG